UACGGAGGGGGCAAGCGUUAUUCGGAAUCAUUGGGCGUAAAGGGCGCGUAGGCGGCUUGGCAAGUCAAAGGUGAAAUCCCUCGGCCCAACCGAGGAACUGCCUUUGAUACUGCUUGGCUCGAGGCCGGGAGAGGGUAGCGGAAUUCCCAGUGUAGCGGUGAAAUGCGUAGAUAUUGGGAGGAACACCAGUGGCGAAGGCGGCUACCUGGACCGGUUCUGACGCUGAGGCGCGAAAGCGUGGGGAGCAAACAGG
rnacentral:rRNA from 1 species